rnacentral:rRNA from 1 species
GAUGAACGCUGGCGGCGUGCCUAGUACAUGCAAGUCGAGCGAACGGACGAGAAGCUUGCUUCUCUGAUGUUAGCGGCGGACGGGUGAGUAACACGUGGAUAACCUACCUAUAAGACUGGGAUAACUUCGGGAAACCGGAGCUAAUACCGGAUAAUAUUUUGAACCGCAUGGUUCAAAAGUGAAAGACGGUCUUGCUGUCACUUAUAGAUGGAUCCGCGCUGCAUUAGCUAGUUGGUAAGGUAACGGCUUACCAAGGCAACGAUGCAUAGCCGACCUGAGAGGGUGAUCGGCCACACUGGAACUGAGACACGGUCCAGACUCCUACGGGAGGCAGCAGUAGGGAAUCUUCCGCAAUGGGCGAAAGCCUGACGGAGCAACGCCGCGUGAGUGAUGAAGGUCUUCGGAUCGUAAAACUCUGUUAUUAGGGAAGAACGUAUGUGUAAGUAACUGUGCACAUCUUGACGGUACCUAAUCAGAAAGCCACGGCUAACUACGUG